rnacentral:rRNA from 1 species
GGGCCCGCACAAGCGGUGGAGUAUGUGGUUUAAUUCGAUGCAACGCGAAGAACCUUACCAGGGUUUGACAUCCUGCGAAUCUCUUGGAAACAGGAGAGUGCCUUCGGGAACGCAGUGACAGGUGGUGCAUGGCUGUCGUCAGCUCGUGUCGUGAGAUGUUGGGUUAAGUCCCGCAACGAGCGCAACCCACGUCUUUAGUUGCCAGCAUUUAGUUGGGCACUCUAGAGAGACUGCCGGUGCAAACCGUGAGGAAGGUGGGGAUGACGUCAAAUCAUCACGGCCCUUACGUCCUGGGCCACACACGUGCUACAAUGGUAGGGACAGAGGGCAGCUACCCCGCGAGGGCAAGCAAAUCCCAUAAACCGUGGCUCAGUUCAGAUCGUAGGCUGCAACUCGCCUACGUGAAGGCGGAAUCGCUAGUAAUCG